ACACAAAACAAAGCAAUUUCUUUGUCAUGCAAUACAUAUUUAACAAACUAUAUAAUUAGCGUGUUCUUUUAAUGAACGCAGCGUCAGCGACAACAAAGAAGAAAAACAGAUCUGCGGCGAGAAAAAAUACAGUGAUUAGAGAAUAACUGCCGCAGAAGAUGUACGAUGAUGAAGAUUGACGUGACGCUGCUUAAUUUCAGCGAUUCAUUUGAUGCAGUUGCAAUUCAUCGGCUAUCAUCGGCGACUCAUCCAAAAUUAUUAUUUUCAAGCUUUAAUGUCGUUUUACUUACCUACUACUUCUCAUGACACGUCGUUUCAGUCCGCUAUUGCCGCUGUCGCAGCGUCAAAUAAAAGAACACGCUAAAUGUAUAUGCAUUCUAAAUUGCAUGAAUGGUGUCUUCAUUACGACAGAUGUAGCUUUAAACUUCACGUAAAUGUCUCGGGUCCAUGCAAAAUCUAUCUUUCGUCUUGUCUUUUUACUACUUUACAAGGUUCUCUUCACCUUUUUACUUUUCUCUU
rnacentral:sRNA from 1 species